rnacentral:rRNA from 1 species
UACGAAGGGGGCUAGCGUUGCUCGGAAUCACUGGGCGUAAAGGGUGCGUAGGCGGGUUUUUAAGUCAGGGGUGAAAUCCUGGAGCUCAACCCCAGAACUGCCUUUGAUACUGAAGAUCUCGAGUCCGGGAGAGGUGAGUGGAACUGCGAGUGUAGAGGUGAAAUUCGUAGAUAUUCGCAAGAACACCAGUGGCGAAGGCGGCUCACUGGCCCGGUACUGACGCUGAGGUGCGAAAGCGUGGGGAGCAAACAGG